rnacentral:pre_miRNA from 1 species
UUAAUACUCCCUUCAUCCGAAAAUACUUAUGCUAAAGAUGAGUGUAUCUAGACUUAUUUUAGUUAUAGAUACAUUCAUUAUAUUCAUUUUUAGGAUAAUUAUUUCUGAACGGAGGGAAUAGUAG